UUAGUAGGUUGGGUGAUCGCUCUCUCAUUUUUCAAUUGAAAGAUGGGAAGGGAGGAAAGUCCGAACACUCAUUUUCGCCAUAAGGCGGAUCUAAAAAAAUAGCGGGUAACACCCGUCGGCCGCAAGGCUAGAGGUGCGAACAGAGACGUGCAAGACCGAAAGGUCAAGCAACCCUUUUAAAGGGUUAGACUGAGAAGUAAUUCUCGGUGUGAAACGGCUAAAUCCUUAUUGGGUGCAAGAACAAACAUUUUGACAAUCUCCGGAUUUGCCAAAAUGGAAAAGUAGUUCGCUUGAGUCAAAGAGCAAUCUUUGGCCCAGAUAGAUGAUCACAUAAAGACAGAAUUCGGCUUAUAGAUCUACUAGGAUA
rnacentral:RNase_P_RNA from 1 species